GAUGAACGCUGGCGGCGUGCUUAACACAUGCAAGUCGAACGGAAAGGCCUCUGCUUGCAGGGGUACUCGAGUGGCGAACGGGUGAGUAACACGUGGGUGAUCUGCCCUGCACUUCGGGAUAAGCCUGGGAAACUGGGUCUAAUACCGGAUAGGACAAUGGUUUGGAUGCUGUUGUGGAAAGUUUUUCGGUGUGGGAUGAGCUCGCGGCCUAUCAGCGUGUUGGUGGGGUAAUGGCCUACCAAGGAGUCGACGGGUAGCCGGCCUGAGAGGGUGUACGGCCACAUGGGAACUUGGAUCCGGCCCAGACUCCUGCGUGAGGCGGGAGUGAGGAGUAGUGAACAAUGGGCGCAGGGCUGAUGCAGCAACGACGCGUGCGGGGUGAGGGACUUCGGGUUGUAAACUCCUUUGGCUAGGGACGAGGCAUUUUUGUGACGGUACCUGGAGAAGAAGCACCGGCUAACUACGUG
rnacentral:rRNA from 1 species